rnacentral:rRNA from 1 species
AUUGAACGCUGGCGGCAUGCCUUACACAUGCAAGUCGAACGGCAGCACGGGGGCAACCCUGGUGGCGAGUGGCGAACGGGUGAGUAACAUAUCGGAACAUACCCUAGAGUGGGGAUAACGUAGCGAAAGUUACGCUAAUACCGCAUACGAUCUAAGGAUGAAAGUGGGGGAUCUUCGGACCUCAUGCUCAUGGAGUGGCCGAUAUCUGAUUAGCUAGUUGGUGAGGUAAAGGCUCACCAAGGCGACGAUCAGUAGCUGGUUUGAGAGAACGACCAGCCACACUGGAACUGAGACACGGUCCAGACUCCUACGGGAGGCAGCAGUGGGGAAUUUUGGACAAUGGGCGCAAGCCUGAUCCAGCAAUGCCGCGUGAGUGAAGAAGGCCUUCGGGUUGGUUAAAGGUACGUCUUUUUACCCUAGGGAUGAUAAUGACAGUACCU